UUUUCCCAAAAAAAAAAUUAUGAUAAAAUUGGAACGAUAUAUAAAAGAUUAGCAUGGCCCAUGUGCAAGGAUGAAAUGAUGGUCUGAAUAUUUUA
rnacentral:snRNA from 1 species